UACGGAGGGAGCUAGCGUUGUUCGGAAUUACUGGGCGUAAAGCGCACGUAGGCGGCUUUGUAAGUUAGAGGUGAAAGCCCGGGGCUCAACCCCGGAAUUGCCUUUAAGACUGCAUCGCUUGAAUCCGGGAGAGGUGGGUGGAAUUCCUAGUGUAGAGGUGAAAUUCGUAGAUAUUAGGAAGAACACCGGUGGCGAAGGCGGCCCACUGGUCCGGUACUGACGCUGAGGUGCGAAAGCGUGGGGAGCAAACAGG
rnacentral:rRNA from 1 species